CAGGCUUGCUGUGUGAUUUGGGACAAGAAGUUGCGCUUCUCUGUACCUCAGGUUCUAGGCCUAUAUAAGAAGGGCUAAUAAAGGUCAAGAAGAUGAUACUGCCAAUGAUACUGCCAAGAAUGAGUGGAUCACUGCGGACUACGUGGCUCUGGGAAGAAGGAUAAAGGAGUUUGAGGCACAGGUGGUGUUCUCGUCCAUCCUCCCCGUGGAAGGAAAAGGCCUGGGUAGGGACCGUCGAAUAGUGGAAGUCAACGAAUGGCUACGCAGGUGGUGUCGGAGAGAGGCUUUGGAUUCUUUGACCAUGGGAUGGUGUUCCAUGAAGGAGGAGUGCUGGGCAGAGACGGGCUCCACCUUACGAAGAGAGGGAAGAGCAUCUUUGCGACCAGGCUGGCUAACCUAGUGAGGAGGGCUUUAAACUAGGUUCACCGGGGGAAGGAGACCAAAGCCCUGAGGGUCAGCUCCCAGACUGCUGUGCUGGGCAUCACAACAUGGGGAAGAGAUGGCCAGCCCUCUGUGGAGAAAGAGGUGGUUAGGAACUAUUUAGAAAAACUGGACGUGCACAAGUCCAUGGGGCCGGACGAGUUGCAUCCGAGAGUGCUAAAGGAACUGGCGGCUGUGAUUGCAGAGCCAUUGGCCAUUAUCUUUGAAAACUUGUGGUGAACGGGGGAAGUCCCGGAUGACUGGAAAAAGGCUAAUGUAGUGCCAAUCUUUAAAAAAGGGAAGAAGGAGGAUCCUGGGAACUACAGGCCAGUAAGCCUCACUUCAGUCCCCGGAAAAAUCAUGGAGCAGGUCCUCAAAGAAUCAAUCCUGAAGCACUUACAUAAGAGGAAAGUGAUCAGGAACAGUCAGCAUGGAUUCACCAAGGGAAGGUCAUGCCUGACUAAUCUAAUCGCCUUCUAUGACGAGAUUACUGGUUCUGUGGAUGAAGGGAAAGCAGUGGAUGUAUUGUUUCUUGACUUUAGCAAAGUUUUUGACACGGUCUCCCACAGUAUUCUUGUCAGCAAGUUAAGGAAGUAUGGGCUGGAUGAAUGCACUAUAAGGUGGGUAGAAAGUUGGCUAGAUUGUCGGGCUCAACGGGUAGUGAUCAAUGGCUCCAUGUCUAGUUGGCAGCCGGUGUCAAGUGGAGUGCCCCAGGCGUCGGUCCUGGGGCCGGUUUUGUUCAAUAUCUUCAUAAAUGAUCUGGAGGAUGGUGUGGAUUGCACUCUCAGCAAAUUUGCGGAUGAUACUAAACUGGGAGGAGUGGUAGAUACGCUGGAGGGCAGGGAUAGGAUACAGAGGGACCUAGACA